AGUGGCCAGUUUUUAUUUUGUAAUUGGUUGCACUUCAUUGUAAGACGAUACAGAAAAUAAAAAAUGCACAAUACCCAGGAAACAAAUUUGAAUGCACAACUUUGGAGAAUAACACAAAUGACAUUGAUUAUGUCAACAUUAAAGCAGUAAUCAAGCAGGUGCUUGAACAUAUUCUCGAUUUUAUAAUGAGUUUGGAGAAAUCUUAAUUUUGAUUCCUAAAAUAACACUACAUUAACUAUUAUAAACAUCAUAACAGCAAAUGGAACAUACUCUCAACUUCACUGGAUAAAUGCUGCUGAGUGGGACGACUGAGCGGACAAGCGGCUAUCCACCUUUGCCCACUUUAAGACUACGCGUGGCCUUGAAGGAACGAAUAUGGUGGAAAUAUACGAUGCUCUGCACGUUUUACCGAUGUGGUUGUAACCAACUAGUUCGGGGUCAAUUGAUCAGAUUAUGAGUUCUGGAUCGCACACAAAAAUGGCCCUUGACCCUUUAAGCCAUGGCGUGUGGCAUUGACCUUAAGCGAGCCGAUACUUUCACUCAAAAUACCACCUCGAAGUUGUGAAUAUGUUGCCAUGAAAAAUCAAUAUCCCAAGAGUGACUCUAGGGGGAAUCAUAUGUGGACGGACGGUCAUCUGGGAUAAUGAUUACCUUUUCGGAAGCACAAUCAAGUUCACGAUUACAACUUUUGCUAGGGGACAUCAAUUCAAACAGAUUUUCAGAUCCACGUAGUUUGAGUUCUUUCCCGUCCAUCGAUCACGCUGGGUGUGUGUACAUGAUCAAGCAUCGAUCAGGAAGAAGAAUUCGUAACCGGGGACCAUUACGAAAUAGCUGAGACCAACUUUCUUGUUUAUUGGCUCCAAAUAAAAUAACUUGGUGCAUUAUAAACGCAAAUGAAAACCUUUUUUACUAUGUCAAAUGAUUUUGUAACAAAUCGUAUAACUAUGGAAUAAUUUGAUAAAAUUAUGGUUUUUAUUUUCACUAACACGUUUGAACUGACCCCUAAUUUAAAAUUUGAGUUUAAGUGAACAUUUAGGUGGUUUUAUAUCUUUACUUCCCCAUUUAAAGUGCUACUUGAAUGUUGACAGGUCAUAUACCUGACUGAUUUAAGAUAUUCUUGUUAUUGCAUACUUGAGAUAGGAGUGGGGGGUUUCAGUAAAUGUCCUGGUUGUGAGAGCUUCCUUUUCACAUGACAAAUCAUUUUAAAGAUACAAAUACAAGGAUGUGACUUGAAUACUUAAGAGCCAUUGACAUCAUUAUAUUAGGUGAUAUAUUUCAUGAUAUGAUUAUAAGUAGACACAAUGCUUCAGGAAGAGUUUCAGUUAGUCUACGUUAUAAAUAAAUAGCAGGCACAAUUUGUUUCAGGAAGAGUUUCAGGUAUUAUAAGUGCAGACGUGUUGUUGACGUGUUUUGUGUCUUAUUUUCAGAUCAAAACAAAAUUUAUGUAAAUAAUGAUUCUAAUAAAGGCACAGAGUUAUCAA